ensembl:lncRNA
AGAUGCUUUUAGAAAUAUUGCAUCCUUGGACAAUUGGACUGUGUCUAGUCCACAGCAAUGGCAGAGAGACGAUGGAAGGAACUGAGGUGUUUUCGUAUGCACAGUGAGUUAUGUAUUAUGUUAAUGUUGUUAAUAUGUAUUCUCUAAUAUAAUACAUGUUUGAUGAAUAUAACUGAUUCUGUUAAAUAAUUUUAUUGAGUAGAUGGCAGAGAUGGAAGCUAAAAGUAUUAAAAUGUGCCAUGAAAUUCUGCACACUGAACAGAUGGGAUACCUUCAUCUUUACCAUGCCUCAUGCAUGGUAAAACUUCUACAACCAGAGGUAACCCUUGAAAUUCAAAAGGUUUACAGUUUACAGAGUAUGCAAAGCUCAACAUGAAAGUUUAUCCUAGGACUUUCCACCCAAAGUCAAACAGCCUUGAAACGAUCACAGAGGAAACAUCAUUCAGCUGUGGAUGUGACACUAACCAUGUGCAUACCUUUGAGAAAACAUUGGCACUACUGAAGAAGGGCUGGUUGGUUGACAUUGUAAUACAGGAUCAAGAAGUCUUGAGAUUGCACGAAGGCUUGAGAAACGGCACAAUCCGAUCCAGCAGGAUGUUUUUAUUUAAACAUCCCACAUUUUCUCCAAAGCUGAGGAUGAAACUUAGCAAAAAGUUUUGUGUUUUUUUUUGAGGAAGAACAGUUAUUUCAUACUGUUUGCCUUGUUUAACAAUUUAUAUAUUUAAAAUAAGUUUAUGUUAUACCUUAAGAACACAAGACUGUACAGAUGCAUAAGAAAGUAUAUAUCAGACGUUAUUUUAACAUCUCAUAUUUCAUUGGAAUGUAUACUGUCAAUGUAGAUUUUCCACUGAAAAGUUAGAGAAUUAUGAAUGUAAUUACGAAUGCUAUUAUGUACAAAUUUAACAAAUGUUUUGCUACAGACAGAGAGGAUAAUUGAAAGAAUAUACAAGGUAACACAGCUGCCUAGGGUUUCCCUGGACAACACAACUUACGUUCUAUGAGGUAUAUAUACAGACACUUUGAUACAGUACCUGGGACAAUAUCAUUAAAUGCACUGUACAUAUAUCUUUCAUAAUUGUAUCUUCUUUUUUUAAAGCUAACACUGUUAAUGCUGCAAAAGACUGAGGGCUUUCAUAGGUUCCAGGCAGAAAUGGCUUUACAGUCAAACAUUGCUUUGGAGUAAGUCUCUUUUACUGUUGUUUUUUCAUUCAUCCUUAAAACAUGUCUGAAAAGCUUAUAUCCGUAUCUUAUUUCUCUUUUAAAGGGUCAAAUGUUCAAAUCCACCAUGGUUUUGAUGGCACUACAUCAGUAGGAGUGUAAUCCUGUAUGAAGAGGGUGGUCCGCUGAACAACUGUACUUUAGGCCCAAAGUUUCACAUUUCUCCUAGUAGUAAGAUCAAUAAUAUCACUGACAUUGAAUACUGUAUGUAAACAUUGUUAUUGAAAUACUGAUUUAGAUACAGUACCGGUCAAAAUUUUGGACACAUUACUAGGCCUACUAGUCUCUUAUCAUCAAGACUGCUUAAAGCCAAUUUGAUCAAAAAUACAGAAAGCACAGUAAUAUUGUGUAAUAUUACAAUUAAAAAUAAUAGUUUUCUAAAUUAAUAUACUUUAAAAUAUAAUUGUUUCCAUGAUUAAAGCUGAAUUUUCACCAACCAUUACUCCAGUCUUCACAUGAUCCUUCAGAAAUCAUUCUAUGAUGAUUUGCUGCUAUUAUCAGUAUUGGAAACAGUUGUGCUGCUUAAUAUUAUUAUUUGUUUUGUGUGAUACUUUUUCAGGAUUCAAUGAUCAAUAAAAAGUUAAAAAGAACAGCAUUUAUUCAAAAUAUAAAUCUUUUCUAACAAUGUAAGUGUUAACGGUCACUUUUCCAAAAUUUAACACAUCUUUGCUGAAUAAAGGUAUUACUUUCUUUCAAAAAAAAUAAAGGAAACAUUACUGACCCCAACUUUUGAACGGUAGUGUAUACUGUUACAAAAUAGUUCUGUUUUAAAUAAAUGCUGUAAUUUUUGACUUUUUAUUCAUUAAACGAAUCCUGAAAAAUGUAUCACAGGUUAUAAAACAAAUAUUAAGCAGCACAACAUUUUUCAGCAUUGAUAAUAAAUCAGCAUAUUGAUUUCUGAAGGAUCAUGUGACACUGAAGACUGGAGUAAUGAUGCUGAAAAUUCGGCUAUGAUCACUGGAAUAAAUUACACUUUAAAGUAUAUUAUGUAUUUGUGUGUGUGUGUAUGUGUGUGUAUAUAUAUAUAUAUAUAUAUAUAUAUAUAUAUAUAUAUGUGUGUGUGUGUUAACGUGAGACUCUUAUAAGAAAAAAAAAAUAUCGCCGUUAAUCUAUUCUCAAAGUUGGGUUGGGAGCUGGGUCUAUACUACGCAAGCUAUUGUGGCAGGUAGAGAUCGGUAAGUUCAUCAUUAGGCAUUAGUUUAUUCAUUGGUUGGGGCCGAUAGAGGGGGUUGGAUUAUGUGUAUAUAAACAACAUGCGUGUGUGACUUAGAUGAGCGUCACUUCAUUCAGGUAACGUUAUGCGUUUUAAUGGCUGUAAUGGUGUGUGGAUUUGCUUGCGUUUCGUUAGUAAUUCAUGCUUUUAUUGUAGUCAAUAUAAUGCUGUGUAUGAGCGGAUGACGACUGUAUAUGCUGAGUUAUUUUCCUUGUGUAUCCUGAGCUCCACCGGCUGAGUGAUUAAACCGAAACUAUACUUCGCAUUGCAUCUAUGGAGUAUUAUCUUCACUUCUACUGACUCCCGGGUCCCUGUGCCUGUUAUCUGGAGCUGCAGACCUUUUAUGGAGAGCAGGGCUGAAGUCUUUCUUUAGGUGGUGAUGGUGUUUCCUCACAGAGUGCUGUGAUUUGCCGUGUGCACUGGGGCUUUUGGAUUGGUGUGAGUGUGCAGUGUACUUAGAGUAAAGGCCUGUACGGCCGGUCAUGUAGCCCAGGCUGCAGCUCCUCAUUGUUGUCCUUUCUGGACCUUUUGUGUAAUUGUGGUCCCAGUCUCUUUUCAGUGAAUGUGUUUUAAAUUUCUGUUGUUAUUGAAUUCAAAAUAAAUUGUUUUAUUUUUAUACCAGUACCUCUGUCUCCAUUGUCUAUUUUGCCACAGAGUGGGGGACCUGUGUAUAGUAUCUUUAAUAAAUUCCUUGGGUGAGAUUCCCAGGGUGGCUUAGUCAGGCAUUGUUAACCCUUUGGGUCCUUAAUUCGAUUUAAGUUCACUUAAGUCAUACCUUCCCUCUGCCAUCUGGCCACAAACUGGCGUAGUCGGCAGGGUCCUGCUUCUGUGGUUUUUCUUGUGUUGUGGAGACAUUGGUAUUGGUUUUGGGUUUAAUGUGUGUAUUUGUUUUUGUAAAGUGUAUGUAGGAACAAGACAGCGGUGUAUGUUCAACUGUUCUCUUCAAUCUUAUUUUUGCAGGAGCUGCAGACCUUUUAUGGAGAGCAGGGCUGAAGUCUUUCUUUAGGUGGUGAUGGUGUUUCCUCACAGAGUGCUGUGAUUUGCCGUGUGCACUGGGGCUUUUGGAUUGGUGUGAGUGUGCAGUGUACUUAGAGUAAAGGCCUGUACGGCCGGUCAUGUAGCCCAGGCUGCAGCUCCUCAUUGUUGUCCUUUCUGGACCUUUUGUGUAAUUGUGGUCCCAGUCUCUUUUCAGUGAAUGUGUUUUAAAUUUCUGUUGUUAUUGAAUUCAAAAUAAAUUGUUUUAUUUUUAUACCAGUACCUCUGUCUCCAUUGUCUAUUUUGCCACAGAGUGGGGGACCUGUGUAUAGUAUCUUUAAUAAAUUCCUUGGGUGAGAUUCCCAGGGUGGCGUAGUCAGGCAUUGUUAACCCUUUGGGUCCUUAAUUCGAUUUAAGUUCACUUAAGUCAUACCUUC